CCGUAAGGAGGGAGCUGCCGAAGGCGGGACCGAUAACUGGGGUGAAGUCGUAACAAGGUAGCCGUAUCGGAAGGUGCGGCUGGAUCACCUCCUUUCUAAGGAA
rnacentral:rRNA from 1 species